UCUCUACUUGGUAUUAACCCCCUUUCAUUCUACUAUAUAACAAAACAUUGGACCAUAUCACUUUCUCAAAACCAAAGUACAGAGCAGUUUAACCGGAGGACAGAGAGUUUGCAGCGAUAAAUUCAUGGUGAAGUGAUCCUAGAUGUCAUAGGAAAAGAGUUUCCUUAUCAAGGUUAAUUGUCUAACAAAACUUUAUUUGGGAAUCAUAGUUUGUGAAUUUGGUUGCCACAACCUAUCUAAC
rnacentral:lncRNA from 1 species